GAAGGCAGGAGCCAGGUGCUUCUCCUGGUCUCCCAUGGGGUGCAGGGCCCAAGCACUUGGGCCAUCCUCCACUGCACUCCCGGGCCACAGCAGAGAGCUGGCCUGGAAGAGGGGCAACCGGGACAGAAUCCAGCGCCCCAACCGGGACUAGAACCUGGUGUGCCGGCACCGCAGGCGGAGGAUUAGCCUAUUGAGUCGCGGUGUCAGCUGCUGCUCUUUUUCUGAUCCAGCUUCUUGUAAUGCACCUGGGAAAGCAACAGAAGGUGACCCACAUCCUUGCACCUGAACCCGCAUAGGAGACUUGGAUGGAGUUCCAGGCACCUGGCUUCAGCAUAGCCCAGCUGAAGCCAUUGUCUAUCUGGGGAGUAAACCAGUGGAUGAGAGAUUCAGUCUCUCUCUCUCUCUCUCUCUCUCUUUUUCUCCCUCUGUGUCUGCCUCUCUGUAAUUCUGCCUUUCAAAUAAAUAAAUCAAUAUUUUUUAGAAAAAGACAUAGACAUGGGUUUGUUUCUGUGUUUUUAACCAUAUAGUUAUGUAGCCACCAGAAUACGGCCUGUCUCCACUGAUCUGAGAUCUCCCUCCAUCACCCUCUGAAUUUCCACAUUCAGUUUAGCAUGUGUCAGUAUUUCCUGUUCUGUUGCAUGAGUCUUUUCUGUUGCAUUAGUCAGUUCACGAUUCAACCCUACACUGUCACACUGUGCGACCCUGAAUUUUUGGUUGACUUGCAGGAGCAGGGAUGAACCCCUGUUCAUCACCAAUGAUUCUCCUUUCUCAGAGCUUGUCUGACCACUCGUGCUGUGUCAAGUGCCAGAUAAAUCUGAUAAUCUGUCUACUCCAUAGAACUGUACCUGGUAUUUUUCUUGGAUCUGAAAUAAAUUAUUUUCUUGGACCUGAAAUAAAUUAUUGAACAUGGAAAUUUCUUGUUUCAGAAUGGGGUGUCUUACUGCAGAAUAGCACAUAUCUUUCUGUUUGUCAAUUCUGAUGUUUUAUGUAAGUUUAGACAUUGCUUGUUUAGCGUGUAUAAUCAUUUCUUUUUGUUUAUGUAUUCUAGUAUGUUUCUCAUACAUAGGAAAUUAUCAGUUUCUGAUGUUAAUAGUUUACUACUUUACUAAAUUCUUCUUUCGUUGGUAGUAACUUUUCCAUAAGGAGGACUUCCAAUUUGAAAUCUUAAAAUGAACAAAUAAGGGGAGAUUUUACCCUUUCGUUACUUCUAAUUGCAUGAUCCUGGCAGUUGCAUGUCAAGAGUCCUCUCAGACAACAUCAAAUGUCAAGGUGGGCUUUUGUCUUGUCCAUGUUUACUGCAGGGAGAAAUCCAGUGUUGUCUCCAUUCAUUGAGACUCUAGCCCUUGAUCCAAGGUGUACGUGUGUGCACAUUGCCGUGCUAAGAAAUCAUCCAGCGAUUCCUGUUUCACUGAGUUUUUAAAAGACAUGAAUGAAUGUUAAUGCCGUGAGAUAUCUUCUUUUAGAAAAUUUAUGCAUCUGUUUAUUUGAAAGGCAGAGUCACAGAGAAAGAGAGAGACAUCUUCCAUCUGCUGCUUGAUUCCCUAAAUGGCUGCAACAGAUAGGACUGGGCCAAGAUCAAGCCUGGAGCCAGGAGCUCCAUCUGGGUCUCCCAGCAGGCAGCAGGCGGCUGAAAUCCUGGUGUGAUGUGGCUGCACAAUGUGAGACCUGCAACCCAGCACCAGAGACUUCAGCAUAGGUCUAAAAGUUUCCUGUACACGUCUCAACCUGAGCACCGCAGGAGGAGCCACUGGGACAACUCUUCACAUGGGUUCUGUGCCCGCUGACAGAACUCAGGAGCACAGCAUCUCCGGCCACCGUGACAGGUGCAGAUUUCUCCCCACCACAGCUGAUCAGCUCUGCAGCAGGUUUCCCAGUGGGCAGCCAGGCGACCCCCUACUUCCAUUCAGCUCCACCACUGCCCACCGCGAGGCAGCUUCACAUCCACAAGUGAGGGCCUGUUCCCACUGCAGAUGCCAGCUUGUGACCUGGUCCAUAAGCAAAGUGGAAGUUCUCUUCUCCUUUCAGAGAAAGGCCACAGCAGAGAGCUGGAUCGGAAGAGGAGCAGCCAGAUCUCGACCCGGUGCCGAUAGGGAUGCCUGUGCUGCAGGAGGCGGCUUUACCUGCUCUACCACAGUGCCAGCUCCUGUUCUCAACUUCUGAAUCUGGUGCUGUGAACAUUCUCGUUUGUACUGAUGGGGUUCAGGAAUAACUACUCCAAAAUGUGACACUCUGGCAUGCAGAAUGUCGUAAGCUUUGAGAAAAUGGUAGAAGCAGGGAACCCAUUCUCACUCCGCUCCCUGAAGCAGGUCAUCCGCCUUAGCUGGGAUUUUCUUCCCUUCCCCUCAAGAGCAACUAGGAUGCUCACAGGACAGGUCCCUCUGUCCCCAGAGGACGGGGCCAUCCUUAUCUCUGAAUGAAGGGACACGGAGAACCAUCUGAGCCCGCGGGCCUGGGUGAGUGUCCUCUACUUUACUGUCAUGUGAUCAGACCCCCGCCCCCUGGGGUGUUUCUCCACAACUGUGCCUUGUGCAUCAACCCUGGACUAAAACCCUGUGGGCUAGCUGUUUCCUGGGCCUUCAGUUCCUUUAUGCUAAUUGGUUAGGCAGCAAAUCCUCGCUCCUGACCAUUCCCCCGUCAUUGAUGGUUACUGCUCCUCAAGAGUGGCUAGGCACAGACAGCGCCCAUGUUACAGCUGUCUGUCUGUGUUACAGGUCUGGGUGCUGGAGAACUGUUAACAGCUGUCUCUUACAGCUCUGUUCCAGCCCCUCCUCACGCGUUGGGUCACACCUGCUCCUCUGUGCUGAUUCCUGAGGACUGCUGGACUCUUCUGCUGGAGCUGCUCUCCCCUGCCAGGUCUCUUCUCCUCACCAGGAAGACCGAGGCACGCCAGGAACCACUGAGCUCUGGCCACCAGGACGACCUGCUCAGCAUGCCAGGCUCUGAGGGUUCAGUCUCUCAGGGAGGAAGUUUGAUGAUUGGUCGAACUGUAUGCUAAAGAGGAAUUCUGUGUGAACAAAUCAGGGAGUCAGGAAAACCAACAUGCAAUUGGCUCAGCGAGGAACCAAUCCGCAGUGGUCUACCAUGGCGCUCAGGGGACCUAGGGGAGUUAGCAGCGUUCUGAAACAGGUCCUUGGUGGGCGGGGCCUGGCGAGAAGCAGGAGCCAAUCAGGAGUGGCCAGAGAGGCUUGCAGGUGCAGGAAGCCACAGGGUCCUUAAACUGUAUGGGCCCUCCGGAAAGCCCCGCUGGGUGUCUCUUGGUGUUGAAUGUCCGUCAGGUGGGGGAAAUAUCAGGAAGGAGGGAUGAGAAUUCCUGGGAUCAGCUAAUGUACGGUGGGGUUGACCAGGUAUCUGCCUCCGGAGGAGACUGUGAGAUCCCUUCAGUGACGCUGUUUCUGUGUUCCCGUACACGGAGCCCGUGGUUAGCGGAGCCGGGUGGUUAGCGUCUCCUCAUCUGUGCUAGCGCCGGGCAGCCGCUCGGCAUGCUGAGUGAUGUGACAGGGCCCCCUCAGGGCCUGCCUCGAGCACGGGGCUGCUGCUCAGGAGAGCCCGGCUGGGGUUUAGGCCUUUCCAGAGAGGAAGUUUGCCAAUGGCUGGAGGUGCGUGCUCACCGGGUGUUCUCCGGGAAGCAAUCAGCCUUAAGGAGGAAGCGCUGGGGCCUAAGGGGCCAUGGGGUCAGGGCCAAAGGGAGGGGGAAGGCGGUGAAGAAGAGGAGCUGUGUAGGUGAAGGAACAAGAAGGCACAGCCCACGGGGCUGGGGUGCCGUUUCACUUCCCGGAGGGCGGCCGGCCGGCCAAGGGCUGUGCCUGCAGAACCACUCCAGCAGCAGCCAGAGGGCUCAGAGGGUGCGCGGCCAUAGUUCGGCUGUUGGGGGUGCGACGGGGGCUUCUGGUGCAGGGCCCAGAGCUCGCAGGGCGUUCACCUUUGUGGCUGCGCCUCCGGCCUGGAGAGCCCGCAGCAGCCGGCAAGCAGCUUUCUGGGUGACAGGGAAGCAGGCCUUGUUGCAAGACGAGCAAGGUGUGGACAGAGGCCCAGAGACGAACUGCUCGGCUGAGGGCACAU